CGGAAAAGCUGCGUCAAAGAGGUAUUACUCAAGGGGAGUUUCAGGCACGCUACACUUUCGGUUUCGUCCGGCUGCUUGGAGACGCAAGUUCUUUUAUCUCUUCGCCCAUCAAUCCUUGCUUCCUUCAAUUUAUGAAAGGAUCGCCAGCCUCUUCGUUUGAAACUCAUUAUGCAAAUGAUCCAAAGGCUUCAAUUAACUGGCCAAGAACAAUUAUUUGCUCUUUUCCUUCUACUAGUGAGGGAGAUGAUCACGUGGAACAGGUGAGACGCAGUGACUCCUGCAUCUCAUAAAACUUUCUGCUCCAGCCAUUUUAUGGCAGAAUUAUCUUAACAUCGCUUCAAUGAAUUCUAAUGUUUUAUUUGCAGCACUCGUAAUUUAAAAAUAAAAAAAAAAUACUGCCAAUGUUUUUACAAUUUCAAAGCUACAACUAUUCUGCAGAUAAUAAAACGGGAAGCUGCCUUUAUCGUAUAACUAAAGAUGUAACCGAGCGCCGGUUUGAACCCUUGCAAGUGACAGCAAUUCACAGAGAAGAGCAACUGCAUCCUGCGAGGGCAUCGUUUUACAUCACCACAACGGAGAACCACUUCGUAAAAUGUUUAUUGAGGAUGGUAACACAGGAGAAAUCAUGCAACAGCUCAGUAAAAAAAUGAAAGCUAGAGAACAGGACUCGAUGCGGCCAAUUCAGGAACAAGUCUAUAAAAGGGACAAUUGAUCGUCCAAAAACUGGCACAUCUAAAAGCUAAACAAAGACGCUUUUACUUCUAAAAGGAUUCUGUAUUAAAAAGUUGGAGACGCCGUUAAAAAUUGCCACUUAUGGAUGGCUUCCACUGGACGAUGAUUCGCAGGGCUGGCAUGAACACUUCUGUCAAUAAAAAACGGUUUAGAAACGCGCACACACACACCCCUCCAAAAAUUACAGAAUAAUUUUAGUCUGAACGGGGCGCAUGCAAACAGGAAUGACUGCCGCGAAACCAUUACAUUGGGAGAGAGGGGAAAAUGCAUCGGGACCAGAUAAGUCUUAACUCGUGUCUUUAAGAGGUGAACGGAAAUAGAGGGGAGUUAAUUUAUUAACAGAUGCUACGGAAGCAUCUUUCGUGAAGGGGGGGGAAGCAAAAUGAGUAAUUGGAGACAUGGAUGAAACCGUGACCCUUUUCCCACAAAGAGUUUUCCGACAACGGUAGUUAAGAUUUCAGCCGACAUAAAACAGGGAACAGAGGAAAAUAAAUACAGUGGAAUGAAAUUUGAAAUCAAACAGGGAACAAGGGAGUUACCAUCCUUCAAUCAAGCCCAAUCCUGUGUGUGCCAAAAUAACUCAGCAAUUGACAGGACAGUUGUUUGGAAAUAAGUGU